rnacentral:rRNA from 1 species
CCUUCCGAAAGGGAGAUUAAUACAUGAUGGUGUUGAAAUUACCGCAUGUUAUUUCAACUAAAGAUUUAUCGGUAACGGAUGGGGAGUGCGUGACAUUAGAUAGAUGGCGGGGUAACGGCCCACCUAGCCGACGAUGGAUAGGGGGUUCUGAGAGGAAGGUCCCCCACACUGGAACUGAGACACGGUCCAGACUCCUACGGGAGGCAGCAGUGAGGAAUAUUGGUCAAUGGGCGCAAGCCUGAACCAGCCAAGUAGCGUGAAGGAAGACUGCCCUAUGGGUUGUAAACUUCUUUUAUACGGGAACAAACCCCGGUACGUGUACCGGAUUGCGUGUACCGUAUGAAUAAGCAUCGGCUAACUCCGUG